rnacentral:misc_RNA from 1 species
CAUAUUUAGCGAAUAUACCCUCAUUUUUAACAAUUUAGUGUAACCUAGUGUAACUAAGUGCAACAAAGCCCAAAACCUAGGUUACACCUACGUAUAAUCCCUACAAACGUGAUAGGUGGGCAAAACUCAAAAAUAGACGAGGACUUAGUUAUAUCGUGAAGGAAGAUUGUUUAAAUUUAUUUUGGUGGGAAUUUUAUCCUCAGGACUAAGUUGU